rnacentral:rRNA from 1 species
GAUGAACGCUGGCGGCGUGCCUAAUACAUGCAAGUCGAGCGAACAAACGAGGAGCUUGCUCCUCUGACGUUAGCGGCGGACGGGUGAGUAACACGUGGAUAACCUACCUAUAAGACUGGGAUAACUUCGGGAAACCGGAGCUAAUACCGGAUAAUAUAUUGAACCGCAUGGUUCAAUAGUGAAAGACGGUUUUGCUGUCACUUAUAGAUGGAUCCGCGCCGCAUUAGCUAGUUGGUAAGGUAACGGCUUACCAAGGCAACGAUGCGUAGCCGACCUGAGAGGGUGAUCGGCCACACUGGAACUGAGACACGGUCCAGACUCCUACGGGAGGCAGCAGUAGGGAAUCUUCCGCAAUGGGCGAAAGCUUGACGGAGCAACGCCGCGUGAGUGAUGAAGGUCUUCGGAUCGUAAAACUCUGUUAUUAGGGAAGAACAAAUGUGUAAGUAACUAUGCACGUCUUGACGGUACCUAAUCAGAAAGCCACGGCUAACUACGUG